rnacentral:misc_RNA from 1 species
UCACCCUUCAAGCCCUGCGCUUGGUGUUGGACGGCUUGGUCGCAUAUCUCGUUCGACCCCUCCUAAAGACAAUGACGGCGGCCUGUGGUUCCCCCGGUACACUGAGCUUUUUAACUGAGCACGUAUCGGACAAGGGCGCCCGGGUCACGGUCCUCUCCCGUAACGGGAAACACUUUUUACUAA